UUAGGUUCACAUUGUCAAACCCAUGUGCAUGGCUGUUCACACCUAUUUCCCAAGAGGCAAUCUGAACAUCGACAAAAGCCAUGAGUUGGGAUGCCAAUCAAUUAAUAAUGAAUGCAAUCCCUCAAUCUCUCUGGUCGCCAUACAUGAAUCUAAUGGUUUAAUUCUCCAUUUCAGAAAUAUUGAACACCAUUUCUAACUUGGAACC
rnacentral:lncRNA from 1 species